rnacentral:ncRNA from 1 species
AGUUAUUUUUAUUUUAGUUAAAAUUUUUAUUAUUAUUUUAUUUUACAUGUAAAUUUUUGUGUGAAUUAAUUUAAUUUUUAAAAAAUUAAAUUUAUUUAUUUAUUCGCAGUAAUUAAUAUUAAUUUAAAAAGAAAUUUUGUAUUAGUGAUAAUAUAUAGUAUUGGUAAAAUUUGUGCCAGCUACCGCGGUUAUACAAAUAAUACAAGUGAAAAUUUUUAGUAUUAGUUAAAUUAAAAAUUAAUUAAUAAUAUACAUAUAAAUUUAUUAGGUAAAAUUUUUAAAUUUAUUUAUUUAUUAUUUUAUAAAAUAAUUUAAGCUAUAAACUUUUUAUUAUAAACUAGGAUUAGAUACCCUAUUAUUAAAAAUAAAUAUUUAAAAUACUAAAGUAGUAUUAGUUAUAUUCUUAAAAUUUAAAAAAUUUGGCGGUGUUUUAGUCUAUUUAGAGGAAUCUGUCCUAUAAUUGAUAAUCCACAUUGAACCUUACUUAAAUUUGUUUAAUUUGUAUAUCGCCGUCAUCAGAAUAUGUUAUUAGAUAAAAUUUUCUUAAUAUUAAAUUAAAUAAAAUGUCAGGUCAAGGUGCAGUUUAUGUUUAAGUAGAGAUGGAUUACAAUAAAUAUAUUUAAAUGAAUAAAUUUUUGAAAUAAAAUUUUGAAAGUGGAUUUAAUAGUAAUAUAAAAUAGAUUAUUUAUAUGAUUUUAGCUCUAAAACAUGUACAUAUCGCCCAUCGUUCUUAUUUUUAAAAUAAGAUAAGUUGUAACAUAGUAGAUGUACUGGAAAGUGUAUCUAGAAAGAC